rnacentral:rRNA from 1 species
AUUGAACGCUGGCGGCAGGCCUAACACAUGCAAGUCGAGCGAGCGGCGGACGGGUGAGUAAUGUAUGGGGACUGCCCGAUAGAGGGGGAUAACUAAUGGAAACGGUAGCUAAUGCCGCAUAUUAUCGGACAACCAUUAUGGGUUUAGCUAGUAGGUGCGGUAAUGGCUCACCUAGGGGACGAGCCCUAGCUGGUCUGAGAGGGUGAUCAGCCACACUGGGACUGAGACACGGCCCAUACUCCUACGGAGGCAGCAGUGGGGAAUAUUGCACAAUGGGCGCAAGCCUGAUGCAGCCAUGCCGCGUGGAUGAAGAAGGCCUUAGGGUUGUAAAGUACUUUCAGUCGGGAGGCGUUACCGACAGAAGAAGCACCGGCUAACUCCGUGCCAGCCGCCGCGGUAAUUC